GGAUGUGGCGCAGUUUGGUAGCGCGCCUGCUUUGGGAGCAGGAUGUCGCAGGUUCGAAUCCUGUCAUCC
rnacentral:tRNA from 4 species